rnacentral:rRNA from 1 species
GAUGAACGCUGGCGGCGUGCCUAAUACAUGCAAGUCGAGCGAACGGACGAGAAGCUUGCUUCUCUGAUGUUAGCGGCGGACGGGUGAGUAACACGUGGAUAACUUACCUAUAAGACUGGGAUAACUUCGGGAAACCGGAGCUAAUACCGGAUGAUAUUUUGAACCGCAUGGUUCAAAAGUGAAAGACGGUCUUGCUGUCACUUAUAGCUGGAUCCGCGCUGCAUUAGCUAGUUGGUAAGGUAACGGCUUACCAAGGCAACGAUGCAUAGCCGACCUGAGAGGGUGAUCGGCCACACGGGAACUGAGACACGGUCCAGACUCCUAAGGGAGGCAGCAGUAGGGAAUCUUCCGCAAUGGGCGAAAGCCUGACGGAGCAACGCCGCGUGAGUGAUGAAGGUCUUCGGAUCGUAAAACUCUGUUAUUAGGGAAGAACAUAUGUGUAAGUAACUGUGCACAUCUUGACGGUACCUAAUCAGAAAGCCACGGCUAACUACGUG